UACAGAGGGUGCGAGCGUUAAUCGGAAUUACUGGGCGUAAAGCGUGCGUAGACGGUUAUAUAAGUCGGAUGUGAAAGCCCCGGGCUCAACCUGGGAAUUGCAUUCGAGACUGCAUAGCUAGGGUGCGGAAGAGGGAAGCGGAAUUUCGGGUGUAGCGGUGAAAUGCGUAGAUAUCCGAAGGAACAUCAGUGGCGAAAGCGGCUUCCUGGUCCAGCACCGACGUUCAGGCACGAAAGCGUGGGGAGCAAACAGG
rnacentral:rRNA from 1 species